AGAGUUUGAUCCUGGCUCAGGACGAACGCUGGCGGCGUGCCUAAUACAUGCAAGUCGAGCGAUCUUCUUCGGAAGAGAGCGGCGGACGGGUGAGUAACGCGUGGGUAACCUGCCCUGUACACACGGAUAACAUACCGAAAGGUAUGCUAAUACGAGAUAAUAUGCUUUUGUCGCAUGGUAGAAGUAUCAAAGCUCCGGCGGUACAGGAUGGACCCGCGUCUGAUUAGCUAGUUGGUAAGGUAACGGCUUACCAAGGCGACGAUCAGUAGCCGACCUGAGAGGGUGAUCGGCCACAUUGGAACUGAGACACGGUCCAAACUCCUACGGGAGGCAGCAGUGGGGAAUAUUGCACAAUGGGCGAAAGCCUGAUGCAGCAACGCCGCGUGAGCGAUGAAGGCCUUCGGGUCGUAAAGCUCUGUCCUCAAGGAAGAUAAUGACGGUACUUGAGGAGGAAGCCCCGGCUAACUACGUGCCAGCAGCCGCGGUAAUACGUAGGGGGCUAGCGUUAUCCGGAAUUACUGGGCGUAAAGGGUGCGUAGGUGGUUUCUUAAGUCAGAGGUGAAAGGCUACGGCUCAACCGUAGUAAGCCUUUGAAACUGGGAAACUUGAGUGCAGGAGAGGAGAGUGGAAUUCCUAGUGUAGCGGUGAAAUGCGUAGAUAUUAGGAGGAACACCAGUUGCGAAGGCGGCUCUCUGGACUGUAACUGACACUGAGGCACGAAAGCGUGGGGAGCAAACAGGAUUAGAUACCCUGGUAGUCCACGCCGUAAACGAUGAGUACUAGCUGUCGGAGGUUACCCCCUUCGGUGGCGCAGCUAACGCAUUAAGUACUCCGCCUGGGAAGUACGCUCGCAAGAGUGAAACUCAAAGGAAUUGACGG
rnacentral:rRNA from 1 species